rnacentral:lncRNA from 1 species
AAACCGUCAUUUCAUACACAAGGCCCAAUAAACUAUAAACCCUAAAAAAUUGGCCUCGCUCAAGAAACAUCCUGAGUACACAGUACCCACCCCACCCCCACCCAUGCCCCAACCCCUGAAAAACACCUGUUAGCUCUGACCACCGUCAACCCCACAGCGCAGCAUUCUGUACUAUAGGAAACCUUUAUUGACCCCCCACCCCCAGCCAAGCUGAGGUGUCCAGAAGCCAUCUGCACACUCUUCUUCCCAUGGCGGAUUCAGGGUGGGGGUGGGGGGAGCUCCGGAUCUGAGGGUUCCCAAGUCAAGGGAUCUUGGCGGGGGAGGGGGGACACGAAGGAGUCCCCUAUGCACUUCUGAGCCCAACAGGACCCCACCUCGAGCCCCAAGGGACGUGCACUAGGGAGGGAGACUCAGAGAGCGCUCCCCGAAUUCUUGGGUAAUUCAGGGUCCCGGGAAGGUGGCACCCAUUGCCCGAGGCGGUGGCGCGGGCAGCCCAGCUCCAGGAGGGCGGCUCUUACCGGAGGCUGCCGAGCUGCGGGCGGUCGGCCCCGGCGGCGGCGGCGGCGGCUGGAAUCCAUCAGGCACUGCCGGGCUGCGCGCACUCUGGGCGGCAGGUUCGGGCUCAUGUUGCUGGAAGGACCGGGUGGAAGCGCGCGGCCGCGGUCGCCCGGGCAGAGCCGGCGGCGGCUCCCCGCAGGAGUGUGAGCCGCGGUGGGGGGCUCCGCGCCCCGGGCUCCUUCUGGGCUCCCUGCCGGCUUCGGAGUCGCGGUCAGGACCCGGGAGGAGCUGCCGUGGAGUCGCGGCGGGAGCCCAGGCCGCUGCGGACCCCGCGAUCCCGCAGCCGGCAACUGGAGCCCACCUCUGCAGAGACAAAGCCAUCCAAGGAUUCAGCAACCACCACAGAUAUGGAGGACAGACACUGGAUAUGAAAUCUUAUUCACUGAAUUAAACAGUUAUUACACAAGUAAAUGGGCACUCGUGUUCCUUCCUUGGUUCAGAAAUUUUACAUUGCUAAUACACAUGGAACUGGGUAAAGAGAUUGUUCAAUUCUAAAACAUUCUAGAAACUACUCUCAUUCAGCUCCUCUCUACCCAAAUAAAAGUAGACUUCAUCACUGCCUUUGUAGCUUGGAGAAUAAGGGAACAGACUGCACAGAAAAGGCAGCCAUGUUGCACUGUUCAGCUGCUAUGCAGAGGCAAGCAAUGUGUUAUGGGAGUUACAAAUGGUACCCUUGAACUGACUCUUCUCUAAAAGGAGUAAGAACCACACCCUCUUUUUGUGUUUCUGGCUCUUGCACAGUCUAAUCACUUAGAGUGAAGGUUUAUGUAGGAAAAAAACCCAAACAAACAAAAACAAAAACAAAAUAACAACUUAGUUUCUUGCUGCAGUACUUCACUGUUUACGAAUCUGAACCAACCAGAAAAGCAUCAUGCAGCGUCUCCACAGUCCCCACGCUGGUUCCUCAACUGAGACACCAUCAUGGGGUGGGGAGGUCUAACCACAGCAAGAGAGCAGAGAGGAA